rnacentral:piRNA from 1 species
AAGACAGGUACUAAGACGCUUCC